rnacentral:rRNA from 1 species
UACAGAGGUCUCGAGCGUUGUUCGGAUUCAUUGGGCGUAAAGGGUGCGUAGGUGGUAUGGUAAGUCGGAUGUGAAAUCCCGGGGCUCAACCCCGGAACUGCAUUCGAUACUGCCGUGCUUGAGUACUGGAGAGGAGAUCGGAAUUUACGGUGUAGCAGUGAAAUGCGUAGAUAUCGUAAGGAAGACCAGUGGCGAAGGCGGAUCUCUGGACAGUUACUGACACUGAGGCACGAAGGCCAAGGGGAGCAAACGGG